rnacentral:rRNA from 1 species
AGCAGCCGCGGUAAUUCCAGCUCCAAUAGCGUAUAUUAAAGUUGCUGCAGUUAAAAAGCUCGUAGUUGGAUUUCUGGCUUGAAACACUUGGCCGGCCACGGUUUCGUGUGUUAGUGCCUAGUGUUCUGGCCAUCCUUCCAAUCGCUCCGCACCCAUCUUCAUUGAUGGGCGCGUGGUAUUGGAUCUUUUACUUUGAAAAAAU